UCCCCAGAUGGGAUUAGCUAGUAGGUGGGGGUAAUGGCUCCCCUUAGGGCGACGAUCCCUAGCUGGUUUGAGAGGAUGACCAGCCACACUGGAACUGAGACACGGUCCAGACUCCUACGGGAGGCAGUGGGGAAUAUUGCACAAUGGGCGAAAGCCUGAUCCAGCCAUGCCGCGUGUGUGAAGAAGGUCUUCGGAUUGUAAAGCACUUUAAGUUGGGAGGAAGGGCAUUAACCUAAUACGUUAGUGUUUUGACGUUACCGACAGAAUAAGCACCGGCUAACUCUGUGCCAGCAGCCGCGGUAAUACAGAGGGUGCAAGCGUUAAUCGGAAUUACUGGGCGUAAAGCGCACGCAGGCGGUCUGUUAAGUCAGAUGUGAAAUCCCCGGGCUCAACCCGGGAACUGCAUUUGAAACUGGCAGGCUUGAGUCUCGUAGAGGGGGGUAGAAUUCCAGGUGUAGCGGUGAAAUGCGUAGAGAUCUGGAGGAAUACCGGUGGCGAAGGCGGCCCCCUGGACAAAGACUGACGCUCAGGUGCGAAAGCGUGGGGAGCAAACAGGAUUAGAUACCCUGGUAGUCCACGCCGUAAACGAUGUCGACUUGGAGGUUGUUCCCUUGAGGAGUGGCUUCCGGAGCUAACGCAUUAAGUGACCGCCUGGGGAGACGCC
rnacentral:rRNA from 1 species